rnacentral:tRNA from 1 species
CCUCCUUUCUAAGGAUGAAUGAAAGUAAAAUUUCAUUCUAAAUAAUAUACAUCGGUAAUGUUGACCGUCCUCAUUUCUCUUCUUAAAGUAAUGUUUCCUUCUUGUAGGGCCGGUAGCUCAGUUGGUUAGAGCACACCCUUGAUAAGGGUGGGGUCGAAAGUUCGAGUCUUUCUCGGCCCACCAUACUUAACUGGGGGAUUAGCUCAGCUGGGAGAGCGCCUGAUUUGCAUUCAGGAGGUCAGCGGUUCGAUCCCGCUAUCCUCCACCAGGAAACAUUUAGUUAUAAAAACUGUAAAUAAAAGUAAUAAUUAAUAUCAAUAUCUAUAUCCGAACAUUAGUAAUGUUAUUAGCUAAUGUUCAAAAUAAAAAUUUGAUCACAACAUAGAUAAUUUUUCUGUAAAAAGAAUUUUUUCUGUGCAUAAAUCAAGCGUUUAAGGGCGUGUAGUGGAUGCCUGGGCACUGAAAC